UAGGUUUGUUAUUUGUCUUAAAUUCUGUUAAAUCAGACUGAUACAAAUAAUGUUUAGUAAAAGUCAAUCACACAUAUAAAAUGUGUGUUUUUAUAAAGUCAGCCGGACUGAAUCUCAAAACAGGCUGAAAACAAACCACAUUCUCAACCUAAAGGAAGCGGAAAUUUGUUGUGACGCCAUUUGCAUAUCCUGGCGGCAACAUUCAUAAAAUACGUUAAUGCUGCGCACGUCUCAAAUAAAUCGCCACACCAUUAACUGGAAUAUAAGCUUAAAACAAACAGAAUCCACGAUUGUAAGCCUAAAUGAGAUGGCCGCGCCAUGAACUGUAUUAAACAGCACACGAACAGCCUAGAUGACCGCGCCAUCAACUGAAUUAAACGGCAAACAAACAGAAUCCACGAUUUUAUGCCUGAAAGAGAUCACCGCGCGUCCCGCGCCAUUAACAGAAUUAAACAUCAAACGAAAAGGUUACUUUCUUUUUGUGAAAUGCAUUAAAAGCAAACAUACUUUGCUAUUUUUUUUAUUAAUGGGUUGUUGUACAUGUAGGAAUGUAAACCUGUUUGUUUAACUUUGCUUUGUAAAGGUAAACAUUUCUGUACACAUUUGUGUUUUAUAUAAAUUGUCAAAUUCUGGCUUAAUGUGUUAUAAGUGUUUGAAAUGUUUUUGAAAGUGUGACACCUGCUUAAGCUGUUCCCUAGUAAAAAGAAUUUAUUACAUAUUUGCUGCCUCUGUAGUCAUCAUUGAAUUAUGGGGAAAACGGGUGAUAUUCAUUAAUUUAUAACAUAGUAGUAAUUUGACUAAAUGGGAUUCAUUGGAAGUGAUGUAAACAUAUCAGCUUAACAUCAAGGAUUAAAUUUAAGAUAGCAUGAUUAAUUGAAGUUCGAUAAAAAACAUUAAUUCAAGUUAAAAAUAAGUAUUUACAUCAUGUUUAGUGAAUGUUAUCUGUUCAUGUUAAAUGAACACAAAUAUUUCAAGCUGGUUGAACAUCAUUCAUUGUUGUUAAGAUAAUGUGGUGUAAUCACGUGGAACCACUGUCCACGAUUAAAUCAUGUUCAACCAAUGUGCUAUUUUUUUGAGUGUACUGUUUGAUAUAUUCUACCAUACUCUAAAUCUCACUCUUAGUUGACUGCAGAUAUGUGCCUCAAACCCAUCUCUGUUCUCAUUUCCUACUGUCACAGACACUCUCGUCUACAGAGCGGAGGUUACAAUCCCAGUAACCUCAUCUACCCUCCUCUGUUGUGUAAGUCUCAAACAGUGGUGGCAGGUGGACUCUGGAAUUGCCAGUCUGCUGUAAAGAAAACUGAUUUCAUCUCUGCUUUAACUUCCUAUUACUUACUCAUUUGAUGUUCUUGCGCUAACAGAGACCUGGAUAUCCCCACAGAACACUGCUACACCAGCUGCUCGAUCCUCUGCCUAUGCUUUCUCUCACU